ensembl:snRNA
GUGCUUGCUUAAGCAGCAUGCAUACUAAAAUUGGAUCGCCGCAGUAGAUUGGCAUGGCCUCUGAACAAGGCUGACGUACAAGUUUUUGAAAUAUUUUGUCUU